rnacentral:rRNA from 1 species
UACGGGGGGGGCAAGCGUUGUUCGGAAUUACUGGGCGUAAAGGGUUCGUAGGUGGCCAACUAAGUCAGACGUGAAAUCCCUCAGCUUAACUGGGGAACUGCGUCUGAUACUGGUAUGGCUUGAGUGCAGGAGAGGAACGCGGAAUUCCAGGUGUAGCGGUGAAAUGCGCAGAUAUCAGGAAGAACACCCGUGGCGAAGGCGGCUCUCUGGAACGCAACUGACGCUGAGACGCGAAAGCGUGGGGAGCAAACAGG